rnacentral:lncRNA from 1 species
UUCUGAUAAUAUUACCAAGGGGCAACAUGUAUAUUGAAAAUAGCAGAGAGACCGACCUAAGACAGAUCCUUGUGGCACUCCAUAUUUUACUGGUGAUAAUUGAGAUGACUCCCCAUUUAAAUGAACAAAAUGGUAGCGAUCGGACAGGUAGGAUCUAAACCAUCUUAAAGCCUGCCCUUGAAUACCUGUAUAGUUUUGUAAUCUAUCUAUGAGUAUGUCAUGAUCUAUAGUGUCGAACGCAGCACUAAGAUCAAGUAAAACUAGUAAUGAGAUGCAGCCUUGGUCUGACGCAAGAAGCAAGUCAUUUGUAAUUUUAACAAGUGCAGUUUCUGUGCUAUGGUGGGGUUUAGUUCACACUGGCCUGAUGGUGGAAAAUCAGCUGUUGUGUCCUCACUAACAUGAAGAUCACUGUUCUCUCAUGUUUCUGUCUCUCAGGUUUAUAUACCAGGUUGUGAUGGGAGGCAACAUUUCCCCCAAUGAGCAUGGGCUUGAGAAAGGAGGCCAGGGAGGAGCUGGAGAGGAGGAGACGCUGUCCUCUCAGUCUGUUAAAAGUGUUGGCAUCUGUAACUGUCCUCGUGAUCAAACUACACAAUAUGCAUCUCAAUCUCAUCAUCUGCAGAGAAACUGCUGCUCGAUCACCAGAAUGAUGGACUGAAUGCUUCAGAGAGGAUUGUGAAGAGAUUCCACUGGAACUUGUUCUUCAUCACAUCUGUUUUAUUUCAUGCAUUUAUUAAUCUUCAGUGUCAACUGUUAUUAAUAUAUUCAGGUGAUAACUUGUUAAAAGCACUGAUAUUUGUGCUACAAUUUCACAUGCCAAUAAAAACGUAUUAUACAG